rnacentral:pre_miRNA from 1 species
AGCUUUUUGUAUCCGUGUAGAGAUUUCGUUAGGUACUUACCCAUUAGGGCUGAUCAGACUUCCAAGUUAAGUUAAGUU